AGGCUUAAAACACCGGUUCUCGUUCGAUCACCGAAGUUAAGCAUCGUAGAGCCAGGUCAGUACUUAGAUGGGGGACCGCUUGGGAAUACCUGGUACUGUAAGC